rnacentral:rRNA from 1 species
AUGAAUGUAGACUGUAAUACGUAUUCCAGCAACAGCAAUACGGUCAGAGAUGCAUUGUGCUUUUUCCUUGACGAAGAAAUGGGUCACAAGCUCGGAUUUGUGCAGUAUCCUCAGAACUAUGACAACAUGACCAAGAAUAAUAUAUAUGGUAACUCUCUCCAUGUCAUCAAUGAAGUGGAGAUGGGUGGUAUGGACAGUUUGGGUGGACCUCUGUAUGUUGGCACUGGAUGUUUCCAUAGAAGGGAGAUCCUUUGUGGCAGGAGGUUCACCAAAGAAUAUCAAGAAGACUGGAACAGAGGGAUCAAGGGCAGAAUACAAGAUACUAGCAUAGAUGAGAUUGAAGAGAAAGCAAAGUCUUUAGCAACCUGCACAUCUGAACAUGACACGCAAUGGGGAGAUGAGAUUGGGUUGAAAUAUAAUUGCCCCAUGGAGGAUGUAAUCACUGGAUUGGCGAUACAUUGCAGAGGAUGGGAGUCAGUCUACAACAAUCCUACAAGACCAGCGUUUACGGGUCUAGGUCCAACGACACUUGCUCAGACACUAUUGCAACACAAGAGAUGGAGUGAGGGUAGUUUCUCAAUCUUUCUAUCAAAAUACUGCCCCUUCUUGUUUGGGCAUGGAAAAACCAAGUUAAGACAUCAAAUGAGCUACUGCAUCUAUGGGCUAUGGGCACCCAAUUCACUCCCUACCCUGUAUUAUGUUAUCAUCCCUUCACUAGCCCUCCUCAAAGGCAUCCCCCUUUUCCCCAAGAUUACGAGUCCAUGGAUCGCACCCUUCAUAUAUGCCUUCUGUGUGAAGAACAUGUACAGCCUAUAUGAGGCAUUAUCAUGUGGAGGCACAUUGAAAGGAUGGUGGAACGGACAAAGGAUGUGGUUGGUUAAGAGAAUAACCUCGUUUCUCUUUGGAGCCAUUGACAUUGUUCGGAAGCUACUAGGGCUAUCAAAGAUGACAUUUGCGGUUACACCAAAGGUAAGCAGUGAAGAUGAAUCCAAGAGGUAUGAGCAAGAAAUUAUGGAAUUCGGGUCAUCGACUCCAGAAUAUGUGAUCAUCGCAACUAUUGGCCUCUUUUGGCUUAUACCAUUCACAGUAACAUUAGCUUCUUUUGGCUUUGUGAUGUUGGACUUUCUGGUGCCAAUAGUUUAA